GGGACCACCCUCCAACCCUAAAUACUACCCAGUGACCGAUAGCGUUAUAGUACUGUGAAGGAAAGGUGAAAAGGACCCCGGGAGGGGAGUGAAAAAGAACCUGAAACCUUGUGCCUACAAGCACAUAGAGCACAUCAACGUGUGAUAUGGUACUUUUUGUAGAACGGUCCGGCGAGCGAUUGUACGUUGCGAGCUUAAGCACUUCAGGUGCGGAGGCGUAGCGAGAGCGAGUCUGAAUAGGGCGUUCAGUAACGUGCAAUGGGCCCGAAACCGGGUGACCUACCCAUGAUCAGGCUGAAGUGAAAGUAAAAUUUCAUGGAGGGCCGAACCGACCUCCGUUGAAAAGGCGGCGGAUGAAUUGUGGGUAGCGGAGAAAUUCCAAUCGAACUCGGAGAUAGCUGGUUCUCCCCGAAAUAGCUUUAGGGCUAGCCUCAUGUUAGAUACCCGGAGGUAAAGCACUGAAUGGCCUAGCGCCCGAGAGGGUAGCGAAGCCUAUCAAACUAAGAAUGCCGGAGUAUCGAUGCAUGGGAGUCAGACAGUGUGAGAUAAAUCUCAUUGUCAAAAGGGAAACAGCCCAGAUCUACAGCUAAGGUCCCAAAUUGUAUCUAAGUGGAAAACGAUGUGAAAAUACACAGACAACCAGGAUGUUGGCUCAGAAGCAGCCACUCAUUUAAAGAGUGCGUAAUAGCUCACUGGUCGAGCGUCUUUGCGCGGAAAAUUUAACGGGGCUAAGAUACAAACCGAAGCUUAGGCUGCAUCGUAAGAUGCGGGGUAGGGGAGCGUUGUGUAAGCGGAGAAACAGUAGCGUAAGCGGCUGUGGAGUUUACAGAAGUGAGAAUGCCGGAAUGAGUAGCGCGAAUGCAGUGAGAAUCUGCAUGGCCGGAAACCUCAGGUUUUUGGAGGAAGGUUCGUCCGCUCCAAGUUAGGCGGGAGCUAAGGUGAGGCCGAAAGGCGUAGCCGAUGCACAGACGGUAGAGAUUCCGUCCCCACCGAAAGAUUUAAGCGCAGGGACACUUUUUGAAGGUCAGAGCCGGGUGUUGGUUCCGGUAGUGAUCGAGGGAAAUUUAGUACCGAAGUCUGGCUGAAUGAGAGGCGAGAAAAGCUGCGUGUAUAUCUAAGGUGCCCGUACCGCAAACCGACACAGGUAGGUAGGAAGAAGAUUCUAAGGCCAACGGGAGAAGGGUUGUUAAGGAACUCGGCAAGUUGACCCCGUAACUUCGGAAUAAGGGGUGCUCACGAGAGUGAGCCGCAGAGAAUAGGCCCAGGCAACUGUUUACCAAAAACACAGGUUUGUGCUAAAUCGAAAGAUGACGUAUACGAGCUGACGCCUGCCCGGUGCUGGAAGGUUAAAAGGAGAUGUGCAAGCAUUGAAUUGAAGCCCCAGUGAACGGCGGCCGUAACUAUAACGGUCCUAAGGUAGCGAAAUUCCUUGUCAGGUAAGUUCUGACCCGCAUGAAAGGCGUAAUGAUCUGGGCACUGUCUCAACAGCCCGCCCGGCGAAAUUGUAGUACCGGUGAAGAUGCCGGUUUCCCGCGACAAGACGGAAAGACCCCAUGGAGCUUUACUGUAGCCUGAUAUUGGGUUUCGGUGUUGCAUGCACAGGAUAGAUGGGACGCUGGGAAGCAAGGGCUUUGGCCUUUGUGGAGCGGACGUUGGGAUACCAUCCUUGCGACAUUGGAAUUCUAACCUGCGCCCUUGAAUCAGGGCGGGGGACAUUGUCAGGUGGGCAGUUUGACUGGGGCGGUCGCCUCCUAAAAUGUAGCGGAGGCGUUCAAAGGUUCGUUCGAUCUGGACGGAAACCAGAUGAAAG
rnacentral:rRNA from 1 species